CACGAACGCUGGCGGCGUGCCUAAUACAUGCAAGUUGAGCGCUGAAGGUUGGUACUUGUACCAACUGGAUGAGCAGCGAACGGGUGAGUAACGCGUGGGGAAUCUGCCUUUGAGCGGGGGACAACAUUUGGAAACGAAUGCUAAUACCGCAUAAAAACUUUAAACACAAGUUUUAAGUUUGAAAGAUGCAAUUGCAUCACUCAAAGAUGAUCCCGCGUUGUAUUAGCUAGUUGGUGAGGUAAAGGCUCACCAAGGCGAUGAUACAUAGCCGACCUGAGAGGGUGAUCGGCCACAUUGGGACUGAGACACGGCCCAAACUCCUACGGGAGGCAGCAGUAGGGAAUCUUCGGCAAUGGACGAAAGUCUGACCGAGCAGCGCCGCGUGAGUGAAGAAGGUUUUCGGAUCGUAAAACUCUGUUGGUAGAGAAGAACGUUGGUGAGAGUGGAAAGCUCAUCAAGUGACGGUAACUACCCAGAAAGGGACGGCUAACUACGUG
rnacentral:rRNA from 1 species